rnacentral:lncRNA from 1 species
AAGACUAAUGACAAUAUCAAACCUAGAACCAAUUAAUUAUUAUGAAAAAAAUCAUUAUCAAGGAUAGAAAUAAGCCAUCAUAAAAAAAAUAAAUUCUAUAUAUAAAAAUAAAACUUUAAUAAUUACAAAUCUACCUUUAAAAAAAUGAACUAUCCCAAUUAAAUGGAUUUAUAAGGCAAAACUAAAUACAAAUGGUUUUCUUCAAAAAUACAAAGCUAAACUAGUAGUAAGAGGUU